rnacentral:rRNA from 1 species
AUUGAACGCUGGCGGCAGGCCUAACACAUGCAAGUCGAGCGGUAGAGAGAAGCUUGCUUCUCUUGAGAGCGGCGGACGGGUGAGUAAUGCCUAGGAAUCUGCCUGGUAGUGGGGGAUAACGUUCGGAAACGAACGCUAAUACCGCAUACGUCCUACGGGAGAAAGCAGGGGACCUUCGGGCCUUGCGCUAUCAGAUGAGCCUAGGUCGGAUUAGCUAGUUGGUGAGGUAAUGGCUCACCAAGGCGACGAUCCGUAACUGGUCUGAGAGGAUGAUCAGUCACACUGGAACUGAGACACGGUCCAGACUCCUACGGGAGGCAGCAGUGGGGAAUAUUGGACAAUGGGCGAAAGCCUGAUCCAGCCAUGCCGCGUGUGUGAAGAAGGUCUUCGGAUUGUAAAGCACUUUAAGUUGGGAGGAAGGGCAUUAACCUAAUACGUUAGUGUUUUGACGUUACCGACAGAAUAAGCACCGGCUAACUCUGUG